AGUUAAUGAUCUGUUCAUUGCCAGAGCACACACAGAUUCAGGCUGAAGGGGAUGGAGUCGGCCUGCUCUCCCUGAACCCUGCAAGAUUAACCAGCAAUGCAACCACAGAAAGGUGUCAAGGAGAAGUGAAUCAAAGUUGGACUGGCAAGAGUUAGUUGCUUUGCUUUGGUGAGUGGAAAAUUUUAUGGAACAAAAUGACAUAAAAAAUUCAGCAGAAUAAUUCCGGUAUGAGAACAGGAGUGUUAUUUUAACAUACUUGAGUGUAAACAGAGAAACCAGAGGACUGUGUCCGUAUCUGAAGAUUUUUCUAAAAGAAGAGCUUGAAUUUACAGGCAAAAAAUUAUUGAGGGGAGAAAGCUUAUUAUAUAAAGGUCUAUAAAUGUUAUAUAAAAGUACCCUGUCUGAGUCAAAGGCACUUGGGCGUGCAGAGCACAGGCUCAUCAGAACCUGUUUUGCUGAUGUCCAAGUGUCUCAGUUUGCUGAAGUAAUUCUGAAGUGUUUAUAUAAAAAUGAGAAUUGCGGCAAAGCACUUUGAAAUCACCUCUGAGCGCUGAGGACAGAGCACUCGAGCAUCUGAGAUUGCCGGGGAAGAAGAACUUCAGGGAAGAGAACCUCGGAGCAGCCAAGGACAAUGCAGCGGAGAGGGAAAAUGAAGCAGACAGGAGGAGAAGCAGGGGAGGGCUGAGAGGCACAGCCAUGAAAAAGCCUCUUCACAUAUCCGUGGCCUUGAGGACAAAUGACUUUCAAGCACUCUUGCAGGCAUCAGAGCAGGGGAAUUGAGAAUGAGAUUUGCUAUCAAAAUGCUUCUGACAAAUUGAAGAACUCGCUGCCGUGAGCUCAGCUCUUCCCCAGAGCUCUGCUGUGGAGUGAUUGGGUUUGCAGGAGAAGAAACUGCAUUGGCAUCCAGGGCUGUGAUCCUCUGGAGCCCAAUUGCAGGCCCAGCACUGCCUCCAGGCACCUCUCAGGGCACACCGAAUCUGAAAUGUGCUGCUUGAGAGACUCAAUGCCAUUGAUAUCCUGUGGGAAGCUGGAGAAUAAUAAAUACGUCCAAGGGAGGCUUUCAUUUUAUUACAUGAGGCAAAAUGGAUGUCCUGUUCUUUAUUUCAAAAUUUGGAUGUUUAAAAUGUCACAUUUUAGUGAAGAAGGUUUCCGUCUUCAGUUCUUCACACAUUGUGUAUCAUUCAUUCCCAGAACAUAACUCAUUAUUUUAGACAGAAAACCCUUUCACUGCCAACUUCAUGCAGGACAAAAAACUUGUUUCCCUGGAUGCCAGCAUGCAGAAUUCAAGGUGCAUUGCCCUACCAUGAGCAGGCAGCCCUGGUCCCAAAACACACCUGUCAGCUCUCAGAGACCCAAUGACCACAUAACCCAGUUGGGUCUCCAGUGAUGUGCAGAGCAUUUCUCUGCUGUAGAAAAAAAUAAAUAAACAGGAAAUCACAGAAUUACAGAAUAUCCCAUGUCAGAAGGAACCCACAAGGAUCAUCGAGUCCAACUCCUGGUUCCACAUAGGAUCACCCAAAAUUCAAACCCUGUAUCUGAGAGCAUUGUCCAAGUGCUCUUUGAACUCUGCUAGGCUUGGCACCACAUCUACUGCCCUGGGGAGCCUGGUGCCUCCAGACAGGUCUGCCAGAGGAUAAGGAGGGGUUUAGUGCACUCCAUUCUGUGAAAUGACCAGAGCUCGGGUCUCAGCUCUGCAAGGCAGUGAAGCACAGACUCAGUGCUUAGCACAUGAAGAAUCCCUCCUGCUUAGUAGAAGCUCUUUUCGAGAGAGCAUUGAAAACAGGACUGGAU
ensembl:lncRNA